rnacentral:lncRNA from 1 species
CGGAGUUGCGGCCGGCGGGGAAGGAAGGGAAGGGGAGGGGAGGGGAGGGGCGAGAAGCGCGCGUAGGCACCCCGGAGGCAAGGCCCAUGCAGCCCGCCGCCGAGGGCGCCUCUUUGGGGCCUCUAGAGAGCAAGGAGACUGGCGCCGUGGCGCCUCCUCGCGCUGGUCCCUCUACGUCUCGGGUCCCGAAGUGGAAUCACGGAGAUGAAGCCGUGGGAGCAUCUGGAUCCGGAGCCCGAGGCCGCAGAGCACUGAAGGCUGCCAUCGCCUAGCAAGACAUGCUGGACCCUGGACGCGGCACUGGUCUGGGCCCAGAGGCCCUGGCCCCGGGAGUCUGCGUGACGCUUAGCUUGGAAGCUGCGCGCGUGAGGAAGGGAGAGCCGGCCCUCUGUCUCUCUGGGCGUAGAAGCGGCUGGUCAAAUUAGCCGAAUGCAAAAGAAAGGGUAAAACCUCCCUGAAACCGCACAAAGCAGUAAGGACUUCAGAUUCUCAAACUCCACUCACCCAAGCUUUCACGACUGUCGUACCCGAACCCCUUUCGAUGCUGUGGAAUCGUACAGCGGGAAGAGUUCUUGUAAAUGGAUUAAGCCAAUCCUUCGAUUUAACUGAGACGGCCCAGAGAACUUCACACAACCACUAUUUUGGUCCGCAAAAAUUCUGAAGUUGGCUUGAAGGAGCUCCAGGAUAGAAGGAAGACAGACAAACUAAACCUCAGUUCCUUCAAUUUGGGCUUGGAGGUAAGGCUCUCUUGAUUGGCAGCCAGUUAUUUUGAUUCCUUUGAGUCAGCUGGGGCAAUAAAGGCGAAUAAGUCCUAAGCAAAACAGACUCUGCGAAGACCAUACAUCCAAAGUAAAAAAUUGAAGAAAGCAGCUUACAAGCAACAACAGGGCAAGAAGGAGUCACUGGAUCUUGGACUUGGAUGGAAACUAGGAGGUAGAUUCAGCUGCAUAUAUGCCAUUACUGUACUUAAUUACAACUGGAGCUGUCCAGCGAGAGAAGGCAAUUGUAGUUUGGGAUUUGGGGGCUUCCAUGGAGUUGUACUAGCUACACUUGGACCUUGUUCCAGAUCCUGUAGUAGUGUAUCUUGGGUUUAAAAAAAAAAAAAAAACUACUAGUCCCAUCCCUUCCUACCUGCUUGAAGCAUGUGGUUCUGAUCUGAGCAAAUUAGCAUAACUCCAAUUUAAGGAAUCAGCUCAAUCCCUUUCCCUCCACCAGUUAUUGGUUGACAUGACAAUUUGAGUCAAUGAGAGGGGCAAUUUGCUGGGGUCUUUGGGGGAAGUUUUUCAGGUUCUGAGAGAGCUUCAGAGGCAACCUCUUCUGCAUGUGCUCAAAAAACAAGGAGCCAUUUUCCAAACACCAGGUCUGGCCAGGUUAAAAUAAAGCAGACAUCAAGAAAGCCUUCCCAGAGAACAAUCUAAUCUUUGGUGAUGUUUUUGAGUCUCUGAAUCAAACAACUCAACCUGGGUCUGCAUUCAUGAUGAAACCAAUAGGAUUUGAAUUUUCUGUGCUUCUUAAUCUAGUAUGUUCUAACUGAUACAAGCCCAGCAACCCACCCUCAGCAAAGAGUAGAUAAAAAAUCUGAUUAGGGUCAGGUGCAGUGGUGCAUGCCUGUAAUCCCAGCAGCUCAGGAGGCUGAGGCAGGAGGAUCACAAGUUCAAAGCCAGCCUCAGCAAAAGUGAGGCACUAAGCAACUCAAUGAGACCCUGUCUCUAAAUAAAAUACAAAACAAGGCUGGGGAUGUGGCUCAGUGGUCCAGUGCCUCUGAGUUCAAUCCCAGGUACAAAAAACAAAAAAACAAACUGAUUAGGUAACUUUAAGGUUUCAUUCCCAUAGUAAGAUUCAAAGUCUCAGUGAUAAAACUGGGGGGAAAUCUUGGGGAAGGAGAAGACAUCUAUCUGAGGGAUUUAUGCUGUUUUCAGGAAAAAGGAGAGCCAGUUUCUUUUUAUACUUCUCACACAACUAAUUGAAAGGAAGAAAUAGCUAUCUACCCAAGCCCUCAGUCAUAGGGGCUUCCUUACUCCUUCAGAGGACUGAUUGAAAUUUUUUAUACAUAGAUAGUUUUAUCUUAUACUUUGUUCUCAUUAUAUUGUGAGUUCCUUGACAGUUAAGAUUGAUUUGCAUCUGUCUACACCAUGCACCUAACAACUGUAUCAAGAGCACAGUAAACUUAAAAAGGGAGAGCUGAAAUUCAAUCUAUUACUCAUUUGAAAUUAGAACUUCAAAUAUUUUUCAUGCUUUAAUGUAGUCUUUGCAUGUGCCCUUUUUAAUAAUGAAAUAUUCUCUCCAGUGAAUUUCCUAUGAUACAGAAAACAAUAUAAAAAGAUACAUAUAUGUAUGUGUGUGUGUGUGUGUGUGUGUAUAU